rnacentral:rRNA from 1 species
AUUGAACGCUGGCGGAAUGCUUUACACAUGCAAGUCGAACGGCAGCACGGACUUCGGUCUGGUGGCGAGUGGCGAACGGGUGAGUAAUGUAUCGGAACGUGCCCAGUCGUGGGGGAUAACGUAGUGAAAAUUACGCUAAUACCGCAUACGAUCUAUGGAUGAAAGCGGGGGAUCGCAAGACCUCGCGCGAUUGGAGCGGCCGAUAUCAGAUUAGGUAGUUGGUGGGGUAAAGGCCCACCAAGCCAACGAUCUGUAGCUGGUCGGAGAGGACGACCAGCCACACUGGAACUGAGACACGGUCCAGACUCCUACGGGAGGCAGCAAUGGGGAAUUUUGGACAAUGGGCGAAAGCCUGAUCCAGCCAUUCCGCGUGCAGGAUGAAGGCCCUCGGGUUGUAAACUGCUUUUGUACAGAACGAAAAGGUUUCUACUAAUACUAGGAGCUCAUGACGGUGCUGUAAGAAUAAGCACCGGCUAACUACGUGCCAGCCGCCGCCGUAA